CUUAAAAUAUGCUUAGAAAUGAUUGGCAACAAGAUGUUUUAUUGAUACUUUCUGAUUAUCAACAUCCUACCAGAAAAGCCGCAAAAAGUAUCAAGGCAAUGCACCAUGUUGCCCAAAAGUAUUUAUGUGGCAACCCCAGAUAAAAGGUGGCAGCUGCCUAAAUUUUGGAUACUGUUGCAAUUUAUUACUUCUACUGAUGUGCUCGAAAAUAUUUUUGCAGCAUUUGUCACAUCUGUUUUGAAUCCUUAGCUACAGCUCUUGUACAUCGACGUGAACAUAAGAUAUUAAAAUACCGCUACAAAUGCCCACAUUGUUCCUAUUCCACUGAAAGGACUAC
rnacentral:lncRNA from 1 species